rnacentral:rRNA from 1 species
AGAGAUGUGUGAUGACGCAUAUCAAUAAGCGGAGGAAAAGAAACUAACAAGGAUUCCCUUAGUAACGGCGAGUGAAGCGGGAAGAGCUCAAAUUUGAAAUCUCCAAGGUUCUACCUUGACGAAUUGUAGUUUAUAGAAGUGUUUUCUGUUAGUAGAGUGGCAAAAGUUCUUUGGAAUAGGACAUCAUAGAGGGUGAGAAUCCCGUAUUUGGUCAUUCUUUCUAGCUUUGUGAUACACUUUCAACGAGUCGGAUUGUUUGGGAAUGCAGUCCAAAAUGGGUGGUAAAUUUCAUCUAAAGCUAAAUAUUGGCGAGAGACCGAUAGCGAACAAGUACCGUGAGGGAAAGAUGAAAAGAACUUUGAAAAGAGAGUUAAACAGUACGUGAAAUUGUCAAAAGGGAAGCGUUUGACACCAGUGUUGUUUUCUCGAAAAUCAAUUACGAAUGUUUUGUUUUUAAGAAGUUAUGACUUCAUCGGCUUGCUUCUUUCUUUACGAAACUUUCUUAAUGCACUUUUCGGUUAACAAGUCAACAUCAAUUUCUUUUGUUGUAAAAGGGUAUGAGGAAGGUGGCUUUCUUUUCGGAGAAAGUGUUUAUAGCCUUGUACCUCUGCAAUCGGAGAGAUUGAGGUCUGCAGCGUAGAUCCUUCGGGAUUAGAUACAUUUGUGCUAAGUUAUAGCUUUUCAUAGACAACUUGUUGACUAUGAUUAGUCUUGUAGCUUACUCGCUUAUGCUAUUUUACCUACGCUUAGGAUGUUGACAGCAGUAUAGACUGU